AAUUCGAUGGGUAAUCGGGUAUCAGAAUUCAUCGAUAUAUAACCCUGAUCGAAGAGUCCCAAACCAGUGGGACUCUUGACCUCGGUACCCAAAAUGUGUGGGACUCAUGAUCAGAGAAUCCUGAUUCUCGAUCACAGAGUUUCAGACAUGUAGGACUCAUAGUCCACAAGCAUUAGGACUCUUCAUCAGCCAUCAGAUCAGAUAGGAACCUCUAAUGUGUGUGACCCCGCAGGUUCAAACCUAAGCCGGUAGCACAGGAACCAAUUCCUGUACUAAUCGAAAUGACCAUCUAGCAAUAGUACCCGAUGUCCAAAUAGGUCAAAGAGUCAUAGUCUCAACACUCAGAACCUACAUGAAUAUGGUUACUGUAUAAUUCAUGCUUUUGACCCCUGUGUUUAGGAUGACUCAGGGUUAAACUGUC
rnacentral:lncRNA from 1 species